UACGAAGGGGGCUAGCGUUGUUCGGAAUUACUGGGCGUAAAGCGCACGUAGGCGGACUUUUAAGUCAGGGGUGAAAUCCCGGGGCUCAACCUCGGAACUGCCUUUGAUACUGGAAGUCUUGAGUAUGGAAGAGGUAAGUGGAAUUGCGAGUGUAGAGGUGAAAUUCGUAGAUAUUCGCAGGAACACCAGUGGCGAAGGCGGCUUACUGGUCCGGUACUGACGCUGAGGUGCGAAAGCGUGGGGAGCAAACAGG
rnacentral:rRNA from 1 species